GACGAACGCUGGCGGCGUGCUUAACACAUGCAAGUCGAACGGGAGUAUCGAAGAAGCUUGCUUUUAAGAUACUUUAGUGGCGGACGGGUGAGUAACGCGUGAGGAGCUGUCCUAUGCAGGGGGACAACAGUUGGAAACGACUGCUAAUACCCCAUAAGCCGAGAGGUAAAAGGAUUUAUCCGGCAAAGGAGGUACUCGCGUCCUAUAAGCUAGUAGGUUGGGUAACGGCCGACCUAGGCGAAGACGGGUAGCCGGCCUGAGAGGGCGAACGGGCACACUGGAACUGAGAUACGGUCCAGACUCCUACGGGAGGCAGCAGUGGGGAAUAUUGGGCAAUGGGGGAAACCCUGACCCAGCGACGCCGCGUGGGUGAAGAAAUCCUUCGGGAUGUAAAGCCCUGUUGUAUGGGAAGAGCAGAAGACGGUACCAUACGAGGAAGCCCCGGCAAACUACGUGCCAACCGCCGCCGUAA
rnacentral:rRNA from 1 species